CAUAAUAACGCUAAACAACAACAAGAGAGUUUCAACAAAGAGAAUACCAAGUCCCCAAUCUCACCGAUGGAGCUGUGGAAGGCAGGAAGCUCUGACUACGUCGUCUCUUCGCAGGGAGCCAGGCCAGCAACCCCGUCCCCUUCCUCACUUCCCUUCUGGUGCCCCUACCCACAUGCCCAUUUGAGGCAGUCCACAGAAAAAAAACUUGUCCCCUUUACUCCCAUUAUUAGCAUGGUGUUCUGAUGUGGAAUACCAACACCAACCAAAUUGCAAAACCAUAACAGUCAUUUUGCUGUGGUGUCCCAGCUGCAAUAUUUAGCCCAUAAACCAGUCUCUGGAGUUCUCAGGCUGUCCCAGCAGGAAUGAAGGUCAAAACCUCAGCUAUGCCUGAUCCUCUCUGUGUUUUCCGGGACUUUUCAACUUCCACUCUACUUUUUUUAUUUCUUCUUUUUCCUUUUCCUUUGCCCAAGCUUGUCAAAUAAAUUGCAUCUGUUUUUUUGGCCAUUACAGUUUAUGGUUUCUAGGAAAGAGAAAGACUCUGUCCGUUUACAAUAAAUACCAGAGAACCAGGAAUAUAUUAAAGGAAAGACUGAUGCUAUGAGGGGGGAAAAUACUUUUCUAUUCUACAUUUGCACCAAAUUAUAGCUGAACUAUCUUUGAAGAACCUCAGGGAUGAAGUUGUGCGGCUUGUGGUUUUUCUUGAGGGUGUCUGGAGUGUGACGAGCAUCAGUGAAAGCAGCAGUGGCUUCUCCCAGCAGCUGCAAUUGCUUGGGGUUCUGUAGGACAUAAGGAAGCCAUUUGAGGACAGAACAAAUGACAUUUUGUUUCCUUUCCCGCUCCAGGAGUGGGCUGAUAGUUUCAUUUUGUUUCUUACCCUAUGGGGUCUUUGCCUCAACUGCUGAUAAACGUAGUCAUUGUUAUUAAGACUGAUGGUGUAAUCUUAGCCUGGUGGUGGAUGAUUCUUUUUCUACCUGCUGGUAGCAAAUAAUGUCAUCUAUUUUUGCCUUCAGGAAAAAGAAAAAAAACCCUCCGUUUGAUUUAUGUGCUACAAAUGCACUAAUAAAUUACAAUUAAGUGGUAGAAGAGGCCUUCUGUGUCAUCUUUGGUUUCCUGCUGCUGUUCUGUAAAGAUAUUUUCUGGUCCCUCUGUGCAUAUGCCAGCUACACUGAGAAUAGAAUCAAUGGCAGCACCUGAACAUCGUUUGUUUUAUUUCUUCAGAAUUAUGUUUGUUUCAGAGGAUCGGGGAGAGGAAGAUAAAUAGAGAAGAAUCACCUUUACCCCACAAGCAGUCAUUUUGAUAAAGGUAUAAUUAAAUUAAGUGUGCCAGAAAGGAUCAUCAUAAAUAGAUUCUCUCAAUAGAUUUAUUAUGCUGUCAGUGUUGGUAAUACAAGUGUUUAUUAAAAAACGAUCAUUUAAAACGUCAAGAAAACAGUAGCUGGUUCUCUAUCUUUCUGAGGUAAACAGAUAAUUCUAUCCUGGGCCUUUAUUGCCAAUAUUUCUAUAUGUUCCCAGCUAAUAAAAACCAUUAAUAAUAACGUUUCCCAAUCUUGUCUAUUUUCAUCUUAUUUUUUUCUCUCAUCUAAAUGAUUUGUCAUAAAUUCCUCUAGGUCAUGGAUGAAGAACAUUGCUUAGGGCUAAGCAGACCUUUCAGUCUCUUCUUAGUGACUGCAAAUUACAGCAAGUUGAAUGGAAUUGAGUCCUGGGCCUGAAGAUCCCUGUUCUGUUUCUACUUAAAGCUUGUCCAGAUGCUCUUCCUUCUGUUGCACAUUUGCAGCUGCACUGGGAUUAUUUCAGUGUUGGAGCUGUUUCCAGAGAACACGUGGAAUGUGUUCAGCCAGAAUAUUGUACCACUUAAGAAAGGGAUGAAGAUUCUCUCUUGUAUUUAAAGCAAAGAUAGAGAUGGAUCUGAAACUUAAGAUUUAUUUUGUGUUUAGUAGUGCUAUAUUUGUGGGGAAUUUUCCAGCAAAAAGGCAGCUACCUCACCUAUCUGGCUCCUAAAGGACAGGGGAACGUUUGUUGGAUGUUGCAACAUGUAUUAAGAGAUGGGGUGUGAUGAUAUUCAGUUGGGCAAUUUGUGUGACUCACUUGAUGACCAAAUUCCAUUACAAGGCCUGUAGAGAAGCCCAUAUAAAGUGUAUUAUGAAUUCAAGCAACUUAAUAACAUAACUUUCGUUUUGUUGUGGACUCGUAACACUAGAUUACAGUUUGGCAGGACAGUUUGCCACAGCGUUAUCUUGGAGCUGCAGGAGGUAUAAACUGAUAUUUUGGGGCUCAACAUCUCUUCAAGAAGACAUCUCUGAACUUGUGAAGAGGCUUCGCCCUUGCAUUUACCACCUGUCAGGAGACUACUUCAGCACUGUGCCAACGAGCAGAUCCAUGAGCAUAAUGCAGCCACUUCUGAUCCCCAAACUAAGUGAGACUUCGGUUCACAGCACCACCUCCUGCAGCUUCACAGGAUUGGUAUCAGCAGGGAGAAAAAACAGCCUCAAAGAUCAGCGGAAAGCUCUAGCCCACCCUGGCCAGGUUUCCAGCCCUGGUGGUAUGAAGGUAAUAGCUUGGAAUGUGCUUUACACAUUCAUCAGAUGUCUAGACGAGAAACCUCUCACACCAAUUAAACACUCUGGCUCAGGUAAUUUCUGAUCUGCAAGUUACUGGAGGUUUGGAAAGUACACCAGAUCAGUCUCACUGCACACUUACCUGCUCUUACCAUCUUCCAUAGCUAUUAACCAUCUUACUUUCACAGUUAGUUAAGAGACUUUCUAAGUACCUUUUUUGUUGUUUUGUACCUUAAAAGAGUGGGAUUUUUAUGGGGAUCCUUAAUGAGAUUAUAGUGUGAUUUUACGUUUUAAUGGUAGAACCUUAUUUUGCUCAUUUUUUAUCAUUUGAUGUUUCACAGAUUGUCACCAAAGAUGAAAAAAGCCCAGAUGUUCUGGACUGAAACAAAAGGAGUCUCACUCAGCUCAUAGGCAGCAGCACAGGCAGGGAGGAUGUAGCAGCUGUUAUUCAGUUUGUAAGCCAGAAUUUUCAAAAAAUCCAGGCCUAGGUACACUUAUUUCCAAGUUUCAAAUGUUCGAACGCUUCCAGGCGUCCCAAGAAACCCAUCUGAGCUGUGAUUGCUGCAUAACUUCUAAGCAAAUUCUACAAUAACAUAAUAUUCAAAUCUGUAAAUGCUAUUAGAGUUAACUGAAUCAUCUGGGUGAUUGUCAGAAAAGAAGGAAGAGCAUCAGUUGCUUUCUGUUGCCCAAGAGAGUUCAUUUUUGAGAACAGACUUGAGGACAGUAUACUAACAAACAAAUGCAACUAUAAAAUAGUGUGCAGUGAGUCUUUGAUUUACAUAGCAGAAGUUGGAAGUACUUAAUCAUUUCAUGAUGUCGUAUGGUAUAAAAUAUCCCAUUGGCCACCUUAAGUCAGCUGUCCUAACUGUCCCCUCCCAGCUCCUUGUGCCCUUUGCUGUGAAUAGCCUUGGCUCUGCACAAUGCUGCUUAGCUGCAACUAUAAACGUUGGUGUGCCAUCAACAUUUUCUUUCUACUAGAAGCAGAGCUGAGCAUCAUAACAGACCCUCUGAAGAAAACAAUACCAUCCCAGCUGGAACUAAGAUAUGAAAAACUGAGAACAUGACUUCAGUUGGAUGUUUCCAGCUCAAGCUGUAGAGGCCAAAAUUUGUUCAUACUUGUGCUUUCCAUUGGUCUUGAUGUGGUUGCAUGUACAUAAUGAACAGCAAAAUGUAGCCCGCUGACUUAACUUUGGCCAUUUACAUGCUUUAAUCUUUAUGCUCUAGUAUUCAUAUUGCUUAAGAAAAGAGGAGGAUCUAAGUGUUUUGUUAGUAUUAAACUGGCUUAUGCUGACUAGUUCUAAUUACAUUAUUUCUAGUUGCCAAGUAGAGAAAAGAUUCAGAUCUUCUGAAUACCACAAAAUCAGUAGCUAUUAAGCUGUUUUAUCAGUCAUACAGAUUUUGGUUUGCAUGUCUGACAGUUUUUCUGUCAUUUCUGUCCGCAGUAGCAAUACACAAGCAUUCUGUAUAAUGAACCCUCAAACUAAUUACUUUUCAGAAAUGUUUGAUUUUUUUCAUGCAUAGAAAGACCUGUGGUAUGCAGAAUACCAUUCUUUGUGGGUUUUGACUAUACUGUGCCAGGAUUCCCGGUGUUAAGAAAUACAAUUAGACAAAGUCUGCAUGGAUGGACAGAUUACAGACAGAUAUAUGUGUGUAGAUAGAUGUGCGUGUCCUCAGAAAGAAAUCCCAGAUGGAAAAAAAUUGGCAUAUCUGAGCAAAUCAAGAUGUAUGGUAGCUUUAAAUCAACUUUGCUUUAUAGUGGAGAUAUUGCCUAAGACUUUAAGAGUGCCUGCAGUAACAGUGCAAGCUGAGAACCAAGUGUUUGGCAGGGGUUCCAGAGUAGGAACUAUGACAAGCUGAGGAGAACUUUCUGAAAGCUGAUUCCAUAUUAGAUUGUUUAAAUGCAAAAUCUGUAGAUUUCAUACUCUAGGUACUUUAACUUAUUUGUUUGUGCUUAAGUCUUGCCAACCAAAGCAUAAUCUGAAAGAGAAUUUUGGUUUCUGAAUUCUCAUUAUAUUUUCAAGCUUUUCUUGGCAACCUUGGAGGCCAGGAGGGUCCAACGUCUGCUUUUUUAUUUACUUUUUCUAAUUAAGGCUCAGAUAACACACUCAAACUCUUAACUCUAGAGGCUGGAGCUUUAUUAAAACAAACAAAGAAAGCAAAAUUGGAAAACAGUGAAUUUUUGUAGCUGUUAAGAUAAACUUGUUUUCUCAAGCAUGCCAAAUUUGAAAAGAAUAAGUAGAAAGGUAGAAAAUGAGUAAAGAGCAUCUUCCAAGAAGGUUGGCCCUAUUUGUCUAAAAGUGGGACAAGGAAAACUUUUAUCUCACUUAACUUUUACUUUUGGGUGGCAUUUGAACAGGGUUUGUGUGUUUGGCAGCUCAUCUGUUGAGCCAUCUGUUUCGUAUUAUGCAUGUUCAGAAGGCACUUUGCAUCCAGGGAUACAGUUCCCCAGAACACAGGAGAUGUGAGUUGGAUUUGCAGUCUAGCUCUCUGUAAACAUGGAUAUGCAAUCAUAUAUGCAAAUAAAUUCUGUUCAUUUUGGAGAAAUCGAAGCAUUCACACAGAUGGAGAAACCUGAUAAAGGAUUUAAGUGGAGAGCCUGUGCCUGUGCUCAAGCAGUGCAGAAUGAGAGGAAACCACCUAGCAUCCCCAGGUAGGAAGUUUCUCUUCUACAUUGAAAACUUCUUGAUAGACUAAGAGCUGACAUAGUAACCAGUUUUACAGCCCAUUUAAACGGUGUCUUAAGGUGAUUAUAGGGUAGAGAUUUGGUUCACUACAUUCAUGAAUCGUCCCAGCACAGUACUAGGCAUGAAUUGGACGGUCAAUCAGAAAGUUAUAACCAACUCUUUGAGAGCCUGCGUGCAAGUACAUCUUGGCCAGGAAGGAGGAUCUGAUCCAUAAAUGGUACAUUAUUUAAUGGUACAUUAGGUAAAUUUUAUAUUAUUUAUGGCAUACUAGUGGCACUUAACUUUCUCAUAUGCUAGCUGUUUUGAACAUACUUCCUUUAUUCAGAAUAUACUGCUCGUGCCACCCCUCCCUAUUCCUUCCUUUCUCCAGAAUGCUGACUCAUUUCCUUUUACUCUUUCAGCCAGCUUGCAGUUUUAGCCAUUUCCUUGUCCAUGUAGCAGUGAAACACAAUACUUCCCCACCAGCAGCACUGGGCAACUCUGAUGCAUCAACAGCAAUAUUGACCAUGGUCUUUUCACAGAGUACACUAAAAGUAUGGACUUGAGCAACAUGCAGGAGAAGAAAAUUUUGCUCAUGUGGUGCAAUGGUGGGAGUAGUGGUAAAUCUAGAACAAGCCAGCAGACUUAAGGGAAAAGCUUCAUUUCCUCAUAAUUAUCUUCCUAGAGUAUUUUGUUUCCUUUCUAUCGAUCUUCAUAUUAGCCAAAGGCACAGAAUGUUUGCAUUGUCAGCAAAGCCUGAGUCUUCUGGUGAUGAGGAUCACACUUAGGUGAUAUUGUUCACAAUCAAUUGGCCACAUGGUGGAUCUAUUGCAUUGUUUGGGCAGAUCUUUCGCAAUGUGAUGUGCAUAAAGAUCUCAUUAUGACAUCAAAUUCAGUGAGGUGCUAGGAAGUAUUUAUUUCUGCUAUAAGUAGCAUAUGUUAUUAUUGCAUGUGCACAAUUUACACAUCUACAGAUUUAGUGGUUUUACUUUGUUGUGAUAUAUUUCAUCUGUUCAUCUUAUCAUAGAUCUUGAUAGUUCAUUGCUUACUCAAGCUGUAUUACUGUUUAAGUUGGUCUCCAGAACAGUACAGGAAUCGAUGAACAUUAUUUCAGCAAUGUUACAAAAUGGUGAUACCUAAACCAAAUGAGUUCAAUUAAAAUUUUGCCAGCUAGGAUCUUGUUAGUAGAAUAAAUGCUUUUCUUAUAUGAACAACUUGUCAAAUUACUGCAAAGCUAUGAGAGUAGGGGACAAAAUUGUAGGCAUUUAGAAAUGUCAGAUAUAUAAUAAUGAUAAGGAAGAGAGAAACAAAAUGAGACAUUCUCUGCUGUUUUUAGAACCUGCCAAGAGUGCGGCUGCAAUAUUUUGGGAAGAGGAAUCUUUUAGACUAAAGCCAUCUGGCUGGCUUUCAUCUGUGCCAGUUGUUAUACUGGCCAAGUGCCCUGUCCUGCCUCCAAAACGUUUCUUGAAGAAGAAAUUUGAUUAAGAAACACAGUAACUCCCUGUUACCUGACUGGAAAUGUAUCAGUUAAGUGACUUGGAAACCCAAGCAAGCAAUCCAAGCUUUGGUGUGCCUGUCAGAGCCCUUGUUCAAAAGCUUCAUCUAUGUUCUGAAGCACUUUUUGGAUACUCUUCCCUUGUCAAGCCUCACUUGGAAGCAAGAAAGGCUGGCUGUACAAUCUGCUCCAAUUUGCUGUCCAAUGCGCAUGACAAAUACAGUUUAAAACAAAAUAGGUCAUUUGUCUCAUUCUUUUAAUUACCAACUACUUCUGAGAUACUGUGCGCACUGAUUUUGUUUCCUGUUCCUUACUUUUCCAAAAGCCAGCCAUCUAUCACACCAAGGCUUUUCAAGGCCUAUGUCUGUGUGACAGGACUGGCAACUCAGUUCACCUGUUGAUGUCACAAUCCCACACUGGAGAUAUCUGUAUGCUUUUAAUUUGUGAUUGUAGCAAUUCAAUAUGCUGUAAAAUGGAUUUGAAAUUAUCAGAAUUAGAUACUGUAUUGGCUUUUCUUAAUGAGUAGGAUAUGAAUAUUUUGUGAUGCCAUCCAAGCCUUUGAUGAGCUUUUUAAAUUUAAGGUUAACAGUCAUCUUGUGUACCUAAGAAUCACAACUACAAAAACAAGGGGACUUGAAAAGCAAGAAUUAGCAUCAGACACUUGUAAAUACAGCGAUGUAGAUUUUCUUGACUUUGAUUUCUUGAUCUCUGCCAGGCGCUGGUAUUGUUUGCAUUUUGGGGCCAAUGUUUGUGUCACCUGGCUCAUAGAUCUGUUUUGUAGACCUGCGUAGGAGACUCACAGCUCAUUUCUAGCCUUGGAUUUACUCCUCGUUUAAGAGAAUUGGAGAUAAAUGCAGCAACUCAUAUAUUCAUUUCACAGUUAAUUAAAUAGGUCUACUGUUGAUUUCCAAGCAUUUUUUCUUCCGCCCACCUGCAUGCAUAUAACUGACCAUCAUCUAGAACUAUCAGAAGAAAAGAAGACAGAAGCUCAUUCAAUCAUUUUACACAAAUACUUCUGUAAGUAAAUUCCCUGGGGUAAACUUGAUUUGAACAGGAACUAAUUAUAUCUCUUCAGUAAACAGGAAGAGACUGACAAUCAAGGAUGUUUCAGCUCUGGAACUGGAAUGCCUUUGAAUCCUGGAGAUUUUUUUUAGGAAGAGCACAUCCCCUUUUCCUGCAAAGCUUAUGUAGUUAUUUGGUCUUAUCUAGUUUACAAGGCUUCAUCCUCUGUUUGAUCCCGAGGACCUUCUUAUUUUCUUCUCUUACACCUCCGCAUUCUUUGUGUAGUUUUCCUACCUCGUAUCUGUUUGUUCUGUGAGCAAUCUGGGGGUUUUUCCUUUUAAAGGAGGACCAAUCUGUCAUAUUUAUACAAAUUAAACUGAUUUAGGAAUCUGAAAAUCUGGUUUGAGACUUUAACAUCAUCAAUAAUUUUAUAGAUAGAUCUGUUAUACAAAUGUAUAUAUAAACACUGAUAUGUUCUUUAAUUACUUAUUAGCUUUUGUGCAUCUCAUUUAAAUAAAUAUUGCCAGUAACAGAAGGAUUUCACUCAGAUUGUCUUUCAAAUUCUGGAAAGCUUUUAAAAGGACAGAAUAUUUUUAAAUGCAAUUUUAUUUGUAAACCAAGCAUCUUUCAUCAAAAAGCUGUUGUGAGACCUCUGAAAUCCACAACGUAGUUUUCUCAAUCAUGGUAAUUACUGCACUGGAAAUAUUUUCCACAGCUGCUUUAAGUGCUACUAAAGCUCAGUUAGAAACAGUUUUUAAUGGGUGAUUUCCAAACCUUUAUAAUUACUUCUAUUGCAAUGCAAGAGGUGAAUCUGCUUCAAUUUUCUUACUACAAACAACAUAAAAGAAGCGUAAGGUCACAGUUAUGCAAGUCUGUGUCAGCUGGUGGAGUUCAAACUUCACUCGUUCUCUUACAUCUGAUCCCUCACAUGCGCACCUUAAAUAGUUCCACUAAGGCUGAAUCAUUGCUGCAUUAGUUUUGCAACUCAAUCUCAAAGCAAAACAGAAAACAAAUGAGUCAUUAAAGGAAUAAUUUGGUCAUCUCUAAUGGCAUUUUGUAUUUCAAUUGCAUGUUUGUGCAACCUGACAAGAACAAAUACUAAAUUUAGAGCUUCUCACUGCACCCAUACUUUGCAUGAAAGAGGUAAUACUCAGACUUUGAUAAUUAUUGUAUGUUUAAAAUAUUUUUCACUGAAGAGCAUAUUUUAGGUGCUAUCUCAUCAGCUGUGUUGCAGUGCUAGGGUUCACAACACCAGACUGAUUUAGAAGAAUGGAAAAGGAAAGGUGAUGUGUUUUAAUUACAUGUCAGUAGUUCAAGAAAACAAGAGAGGUUUUAAGGCAGCAUUCCUCACUCUUACAUGGUGACACCAGCGGGAUUAUUUGUUUUGUACUUAGAGGAACACUUUGUCUGCCAGUGUUGUGCAAUUUUUGGCCAAGGAGCAGAACAUAUUUCUCUCCCUGCUACAGUGCAUUAAAUCAAAAAUAAUCCCACAAGGUGGGGGUUUCUCAUUUAUAGACAUACAGCAGGAGUGAUUCUGAGCAGGGGGAGAGCAGCAAGAAGAAAUUCCUACUGAAUCACACCAAAUUCCUUCCGUCUGCAGAAGGGACUGCAUUAUACUGUCUGAUAGCCUUCACAAAGUGCAGCCUGCAGUCUCUCUUACAGCAUAUAUGCCUGGUACCAAUGGAGGCAAGUAACGCUUUGCUUUUUUUGUUCACUAUUGUCAAUAAUUUAUGAUCUCCUCCAUAGUAACAAAGGCAUUGAAACACAUUUUAAUUAGCACAGUUUCAAAUGUAGCUUAAUCAUGGUUAGCUAACGCAUUUAAAUCAGCCUUGUCUGCUGAGGGCAAAAUCAUUAAAACCUUUUCAAAUGCCAUUGAUUUUCCAUUGUUGUUAUGGCUUUUGACCCAUCUUCUCACCAUCCCUUUGGCAGUCAUGGUACCAUAGCCCACCUGACAGCUGUUCUGUCACCAGUGGUCUCAUCAUUGUAGUUCAUGUACAUGGGAGAGGUUAUUGAUGAAACCAAGUGGAACAUGACUAAAAUGUCGGAAAGAUUGUUACUAAUGUAAAAUUAAAUACGUGUCUGUUGUGUUGAGUAAGGAUGAAUUUAAAUGUGUGUUUUGUUUUUUUAGUGUUUGAAUCAGUGCUUAGCUUGAAGAGUUGCAGGUAAUAGGAGAGUGAUUUGGGAAAGUUAAUUUUGUUUUUGUCUUAUGGCCAAUAUUAUUGCAUCAUUGCCAUUUUACUUCCAUUAUUUCCAAACCACGUUGAUAUUCUCUUAGGGUUCUAAUUAAGAAUAGAAGAAAAUGAAGGAAAACUGAGAUGAAACUAAGAAUUUGGAAAAAGAAACAGAAAUAAUGAAAAAAGAGAAGGUCAGGAUAUACAGUAAUACCCUCAAAAUGGCAUAAUGCCAUAAAUAGUCAUGAGUUUGUCUUAGAUAAACAAUUCCAGGAGAAGAAAAACAAUUUUAGGGUUCAACAAUGCAUUCGCUUACCUAAUUGCUUAAUGUAUCCCAUAAUUCUGAAACAAACUGAGAAUCUUUCUGAUGGGCAGAGUGGAUUUGUUUUGUGUUAGGGAUAUGCUGGGAGUUCAGUGUGUAGAUGUUUAAAAUAUAUUCAUUUUAAAACACAGCAGACCUGUAAUUGUAUUGGAAAGGCAAAUAUUGCAUUCCCUGGACUUAAAGUAUAGGCAACACGCCUCAGGAAAAACAGAACAAAGGAUAAGCUUUUUUGCUUGCUGCUUUGUAAGGAUAUUAGUUUUCAAUCUUCACUAUUGUUGAAUAUACGACACACAUUACAAUAUUGAUGCGUUUAAUUUAUAAUGAAGACUGUUGCCAUUGCAUCAGUGGUAAUGCUUGUUCUAUUUCUGUCCAAUAAUAUAUUAAGCUUUACAAGGAAUGGCUGCAUCUUCAACUGUUAAACCUGUGGCCUUAAUUAAUUAAUUAAUGCCUUUGAAGAUUUUUCUGGUUUCCAAGCAUGAUCUUGAGCUAAAAAUUAAAUGCCUUGUGAAAAAUGUUA